UACGUAGGGGGCGAGCGUUGCCCGGAUUUAUUGGGCGUAAAGAGCUUGUAGGUGGUUUGUCGCGUCUGCUGUGAAAACCCGAGGCUCAACCUCGGACUUGCAGUGGGUACGGGGCAGACUAGAGUGUGGUAGGGGAGACUGGAAUUCCUGGUGUAGCGGUGGAAUGCGCAGAUAUCAGGAGGAACACCGAUGGCGAAGGCAGGUCUCUGGGCCAAUUACUGACACU
rnacentral:rRNA from 1 species